rnacentral:ribozyme from 1 species
CGUGAAAAAAAAAAGAAAAAAGAAAAAAGAAAAAAGAAAAAA